AACAAUAGAAUAGAAAUUAUGAAAUAAAAAUGUAACAUUUCUGUAACUGCCCAAUUAUUAUUUAGUACUUUUUAUUUUCUUUAGGUUUUUUAUUCGUAUUUAUUUUUUAAAUAUGUGCACUUUAUAGUUUUGUUGUUGUUCUUAUUCAUUUCCACAUAUUUUAAACUACAAUUAUGUUUUAUAUUUGCCUUCUUGUUCUUUUUCAUUGUAUUUGACUGUGAUUGGAGGAAAUCAUGUCAUUGUGUUUCUAUGAUGGGAGAAACAAAGAUAAAAAGAUUAUAGUUUUAUGAUUCUUAUUGGAUAUUUGUUAACAUGUUCAAAUCUUCAAAUGAAGUGAAAGUGAAUGUUUAGAGUUUGCUGUAACUCUUUCUAGAAGCCUGUUUGUCACAUUACAUCUCUUCUGUUUCUCAUCAGGGUGAAUCUGCUGCUGCUGCUGUGUUUGAUCACUUACAGCGCUCAGUUCAGUGAGUAUUUGUGGACUGAUGAUGGAAAUUUCCAAUCAUAUUACAUAAAUAACACACACUGCAUCACUGGUGUAUCUGUGCAGUUCAUUCAUUCAUUAAACACUGUUCAGGAAUUCACUACAACUGCACUGAUAUAUCUGCUACAGUUUUAUACUAUUCACACACAUGCACACAUAUAUUCAUUUGACUAAAAUAACUCUACUAGAAUAUUUUAUGACCUNNNNNNNNNNNNNUCAGACAGAGCUGGAGCGACAAAUCAGGACGUACCAACUUCAUAUUCAUGAUGAGAUUUGUGUGAACAUCGGUGAGCAGCUGAAGUUAGAUGUUCUGUUGUCAGAAGCUGAUAAAGUGCAGCAUCAGGAGCGAGUGGAAGGAGGUGUGGAGGAGAAAAGAUGGGGUCUGGAGCGAUCGACUGACUCACAGUGAUGGAAACAUGACAUCUUACAGUUUGAGGACAGAGAUGCAGGAACAUACAGAGUUCUGGAUUCAGAAGGAAACACAUUGAUCACAAUCACAGGUGAGAGAAACUCAGAUAUGAGGAAAUAUUAUUCAUAAAGCUGAAGUUUAUUCAUCAUGAUCUGAACAUCACAUUGAUGCUGAACUGUGAGACUGAUCUCUCAAUAUCUUCUACAGAAUCUAGAACAGAAUCAAAGAGAAAACUGAAGACAUUAAACAAGUUUGUGAGUAAAACAGGAGCUUAACAAAAUCUUCAAGCAGUGAGUUUAAAAAAAGGUUUUUAUAAAUUGUGCUUUCUUCUGUUUUUCCUCUUUCGCAGCUGUAAUGUAUUGAUCAUGAGUGCUAGACUGCUUGUGUAUGUGCUUCUGACUCUGGUUACAUUUACAGGUGCAUCUCAAUAAAUUAGAAUGUCAUGGAAAAGUUCA
ensembl:lncRNA